AUGAAAUUGAACCCGUGCGAGAAGUUUUUGCUCGACGAUGCGGACGACUCGGAUGUUGAGACGCUGCUUGCAAACUUUCGGCAGCAGACGUUGGUGAUGGCUCUUGCCGUCAAGGAGCACGAAGACGAGAACCGAAAGAGGCGGCGAGGAUCGACCGUCGGGCGUCUUUGCAUUCCUCGGAAUCGCCAUCUCGGGAAGGAGAUGUUGAUGCAAGACUACUUCGCGGAGAAUCCAACAUAUCCACCGCACCUCUUCCGGAGAAGGUACCGAAUGCGCCGAUCCCUCUUUGUGAAAAUUGUUCAAGCUUGUGAGGCAAAUUGUCGGUAUUUUACUCAAGGAAGAAAUGCUACGGGCUUAAAGGGAUUUAGUGCAUAUCAAAAAAUCUCGGCAGCUAUGUGGGUGAUUGCAUAUAGCGUUCCGGCUGACUAUGCCGAUGAGUACCUCGCAUUGGUGAAGAUACCACAAUUGAGUUAG
rnacentral:rRNA from 1 species